rnacentral:rRNA from 1 species
AAGASCUUGCGCUUUUGGAGCGGCCGAUGCCUGAUUAGCUUGUUGGUAAGGUAAAAGCUUACCAAGGCCUCGAUCAGUAGCUGGUCUGAGAGGACGACCAGCCACACUGGGACUGAGACACGGCCCAGACUCCUACGGGAGGCAGCAGUGGGGAAUUUUGGACAAUGGGGGCAACCCUGAUCCAGCCAUGCCGCGUGAGUGAAGAAGGCCUUCGGGUUGUAAAGCUCUUUCAGCCGGAACGAAACGGUUACGGUUAAUACCCGUGACUACUGACGGUACCGGAAGAAGAAGCACCGGCUAACUACGUGCCAGCAGCCGCGGUAAUACGUAGGGUGCGAGCGUUAAUCGGAAUUACUGGGCGUAAAGCGUGCGCAGGUGGUUUUGUAAGUCAGAUGUGAAAGCCCCGGGCUCAACCUGGGAACU